rnacentral:misc_RNA from 1 species
GUGAAUCAUCGAAUCUUUGAACGCAAAUUGCACUCCCUUGUAUUCCGGGGAGUAUGCCUGUUUGAGGGUCUUUAGAAGAAAAAUCGAAUCAUCUCUCUUUUUUUUGUUGGUGAUCGCUUCGGAAUUGAGCCGUCUUUCAAAUGUUAAUUCAUGUCAAAGUGGCUUAAAAUUCAUCCAUUCGGUACGAUUUAUGCGUAUUUAAGAUCAAUUUUGAUUAAUAACUCUCUAUGAC